UCUUAUUAAGAGCGGUGGAGGGACUGGCCCUGAGAAACCCGGCAACCAUUCUUGUUUAUACUAAACAGGAACAGGUGCUAAAUCCUGCAAAAUACGUUGUAUUUUGAAAAAUAAGA
rnacentral:ncRNA from 1 species